CUAUUUCUUGCCCCCGACAUAUUUCUGAUGCUGGCAGGUUCCUAACUAUUUCUUGCCCCUGACAUAUUUCUGAUGCUGGCAGGUUCCUAACUAUUUCUUGCCCCUGACAUAUUUCUGAUGCUGGCAGGUUCCUAACUAUUUCUUGCCCCCGACAUAUUUCUGAUGCUGGCAGGUUCCUAACUAUUUCUUGCCCCUGACAUAUUUCUGAUGCUGGCAGGUUCCUAACUAUUUCUUGCCCCUGACAUAUUUCUGAUGCUGGCAGGUUCCUAACUAUUUCUUGCCCCUGACAUAUUUCUGAUGCUGGCAGGUUCCUAACUAUUUCUUGCCCCCGACAUAUUUCUGAUGCUGGCAGGUUCCUAACUAUUUCUUGACCCUGACAUAUUUCUGAUGCUGGCAGGUUCCUAACUAUUUCUUGCCCCUGACAUAUUUCUGAUGCUGGCAGGUUCCUAACUAUUUCUUGCCCCUGACAUAUUUCUGAUGCUGGCAGGUUCCUAACUAUUUCUUGACCCUGACAUAUUUCUGAUGCUGGCAGGUUCCUAACUAUUUCUUGACCCUGACAUAUUUCUGAUGCUGGCAGGUUCCUACUAUUUCUUGCCCUGACAUAUUUCUGAUGCUGGCAGGUUCCUAACUAUUUCUUGCCCCUGACAUAUUUCUGAUGCUGGCAGGUUCCUAACUAUUUCUUGUCCUGACAUAUUUCUGAUGCUGGCAGGUUCCUAACUAUUUCUUGCCCCUGACA